GACGCACGCUGGCGGCGUGCUUAACACAUGCAAGUCGCACGGUAAGGUCCUCCGGGGUACACGAGUGGCGAACGGGUGAGUAACACGUGGGUGAUCUGCCCUGCACUUCGGGAUAAGCAUGGGAAACUGGGUCUAAUACCGGAUAGGACCAUGCGACGCACGGCUUGUGGUGGAAAGCUUUUGCGGUGUGGGAUGGGCCCGCUGCCUAUCAGCUUGUUGGUGGGGUCAUGGCCUACCAAGGCGACGGCGCGUAGCCGGCCUGAGAGGGUGACCGGCCACACUGGGACUGAGAUACGGCCCAGACUCCUACGGGAGGCAGCAGUGGGGAAUAGUGCACAAUGGGCGCAAGCCUGAUGCGGCAACGCCGCGUGAGGGAUGACGGCCUUCUGGUUGUAAACCUCUUUCAGUAGGGACGAAGCACAAGUGACGGUACCUACAGAAGAAGGACCGGCCAACUACGUGCCAGCCGCCGCCGUAA
rnacentral:rRNA from 1 species